UACAGGGGGUGCAAACGUUGCUCGGAAUCAUUGGGCGUAAAGCGCACGUAGGCGGUUCGUUAUGCGGAUGUGAAAGCCCUUGGCUUAACCGAGGAAGUGCAUCCGAAACUGGCGAGCUAGAGUACGAAAGAGGAUCGCGGAAUUCCCGGUGUAGAGGUGAAAUUCGUAGAUAUCGGGAGGAACACCAGUGGCGAAGGCGAUCACCUGGGGUUGUUCUGACGCUGAGGAGCGAAAGCUAGGGGAGCAAACGGG
rnacentral:rRNA from 1 species